GUGGUCACUUAGGCAUCACAUAUACUAAAAUGGGAAUGAUACAGAGAUUAGCAUGGUCCCUGCACAAGAAUGAAACAAUUCGUGAAGCAUUCCAUAUUUAA
rnacentral:snRNA from 1 species